rnacentral:rRNA from 1 species
UGAGGAAUAUUGGUCAAUGGACGCAAGUCUGAACCAGCCAUGCCGCGUGAAGGAUGAAGGCCUUCUGGGUUGUAAACUUCUUUUAUCUGGGAAGAAAACUACGGUUUCUACUGUAGCCGACGGUACCAGAGGAAUAAGCACCGGCUAACUCCGUGCCAGCAGCCGCGGUAAUACGGAGGGUGCAAGCGUUAUCCGGAUUUACUGGGUUUAAAGGGUGUGUAGGCGGGUCUUUAAGUCAGUGGUGAAAUCUCCGAGCUCAACUUGGAAACUGCCAUUGAUACUAUUGAUCUUGAAUUCUGUUGAGGUUGGCGGAAUAAGUCAUGUAGCGGUGAAAUGCAUAGAUAUGACUUAGAACACCGAUUGCGAAGGCAGCUAACUAAACAGAUAUUGACGCUGAGGCACGAAAGCGUGGGGUUCAAACAGG